CCUGUUCCUGGCUCUUCCAAGUCUGUGGUCCCAUCAAGAUGAGGCUUUUCUCCUUGAUGGUCCAGGAUGAUGAAUACAAGAUGAGCGUGCACUUCCUGAACACAUCCCUGAUAGAAAAGUGUGGCUGCUCCUGAGAUACCCUGGAGGCUCUUGUGGGUCCCAUACCCACUCAAAUCUCAGGACUCUAGUGAGGGACUGGGGUUGACACUGGAAAUAACUAGAGUUCUUUGGAGGGUGAGGGGAUUCGAUUAUUUUUCAAAGCCCAGUAAGAAGGAUGGCAUUAUGGUAGUCACUCUGCCUUGGCCACUUUUCUUUGACAUGGGCAGAAACUUUGUACUGCUAUUCUCAGACAUUCCUGUUCCUAGGGCUGGGCCUAUUAGUUGUCCAGACAUCUGAACAUUGCUCUGUCCUGGAUUAUGUCAGUGAGCCAUGCUUCAUGGAGGCCACUUAAGUGGGAAAAGAGGAACCAAAAUAGGUGGGUGUGUUCUUGGGUUGGAGCUAAAACGGUACUGGUUAAAGGGGGCUGUUUCAGAUCCUUCUGGGCUAUUCUGCCAUUGUCCUGCUCUGUACCACAGGCCUGGAGCUGGUCCAAAGCUGGCCUAGGCCUUGGAAUGUUGCUUCCUCCCCACCUAGCUUGCCUGGCUUCUUCAGUGAGUGAAGGCUGUGUCCGAGGGAGUGUCCUGUAACAGGCUAUGCAUGGAUUCAGGGCACCAAGGCCUUCACAACUACCUGGUGAGAGUCAGAUCAGAGCCUGGAUGUUGCUGGGAGUGGAGGAUGUCACUUGAGACUGAUCUUUGGUGGAGGGGGUCUUUGGACUCAUGGAAGGAUUAAGUCCUUCAUUAUUUAAGGCACUUCCUGCCUGAUGACUUCAAUGAUUAGCUUUAUUUACUCUCUUCAAUAAAACUCCACUAACAUCAUUGUUGG
rnacentral:lncRNA from 1 species